rnacentral:rRNA from 1 species
CCUACGGGAGGCACCAGUGGGGAAUAUUGGACAAUGGGGGGAACCCUGAUCCAGCCAUGCCGCGUGUGUGAAGAAGGCCUUAUGGUUGUAAAGCACUUUAAGCGAGGAGGAGGCUACUUUAGUUAAUACCUAGAGAUAGUGGACGUUACUCGCAGAAUAAGCACCGGCUAACUCUGUGCCAGCAGCCGCGGUAAUACAGAGGGUGCGAGCGUUAAUCGGAUUUACUGGGCGUAAAGCGUGCGUAGGCGGCUUAUUAAGUCGGAUGUGAAAUCCCCGAGCUUAACUUGGGAAUUGCAUUCGAUACUGGUGAGCUAGAGUAUGGGAGAGGAUGGUAGAAUUCCAGGUGUAGCGGUGAAAUGCGUAGAGAUCUGGAGGAAUACCGAUGGCGAAGGCAGCCAUCUGGCCUAAUACUGACGCUGAGGUACGAAAGCAUGGGGAGCAAACAGGAUUAGAUACCCUAGUAGUC